CCUGAUAGCAAGUGCUAUAGCACU
rnacentral:tRNA from 1 species